CCCUGGAGUCUUCGCUGCUCAAUAAUUUUGCAUAAGCCAUAAAAAAUGAUUUCAUUUUCGAUCAGAUGUUUACUUAUCGUAGAAGCAUUUUAUCUUCUGCUCUGUAAAAAAUUUAAUCACAGACAGGAGGACCCUGCAGGGUCUGGAAGGCUAUUAACAGAGCAGGAGAUAAUAAAUUCUAAAUUAAACAGACUCUGCAAUAAAGGGAGUGUAAAAAUGAAAUCUUUCUUUACAGGAAGUGUUU